GCCACGCCCGCUACAAGAAACUACAAAGGAAUUGACGGACCCCGCACAAGCGGUGGAUCAUGUUGUUAAUUCGAUGAUACGCGAAGAACCUUACCAGGUCUUGACAUCCCCCGCGAUGCUUUAGAGAUAAAGCGGAGGUAUUCGGGGAGACAGGUGGUGCAUGGUUGUCGUCAGCUCGUGUCGUGAGAUGUUGGGUUAAGUCCCGCAACGAGCGCAACCCUAUUGCUAGUUACCAUCAUUAAGUUGGGGACUCUAGCGAGACUGCCAGUGAUAAACUGGAGGAAGGUGGGGAUGACGUCAAAUCAUCAUGCCUCUUAUGACCUGGGCUACAAACGUGAUACAAUGGCUGGAACAAAGGGAUGCGAAGCAGUGAUGUGGAGCGAAACCCAUAAAAACAGUCUCAGUUCGGAUUGAAGUCUGCAACUCGACUUCAUGAAGCCGGAAUCGCUAGUAAUCGCGGAUCAGAACGCCGCGGUGAAUACGUUCUCGGGGUUU
rnacentral:rRNA from 1 species